GUGAAGGUGACUUUUUAGUAAAAACCAGAGGGAGUAAGGAAACUAGCUUUCUGGACACCUGAAGAGAGCAUGUUUGAGGCAGGGGAACCACAAGGACAUGGCCCUGAUGCUGGAGCUCCUCUUGGAUCACGGGGCUGUCUUUACCCCAGAUUCCAUAAAUAAGGAGAAGAACCUGGAAGACCUCAGGCUUUAGUAGAGAAGAGAUGAAUAGCAAUAAACAACAAUACCACUUGAUUUGUUGUCACUCUUCCCAUCAAUGGCCACCAAGAAAAUACUGUCGACAGACUAUUUUGGCCAACGGUGGUGAGGAGUGAAAAGUGCCAGCAAAUAUCAGAUCCACACCCUAAAUCUUCUGAAUGGGAUUCCGUGAAACACUUGACAAGCCUCUCUCCUCAUGUAGGUUGCUCCAUUCUGAAAAGAAUGUGUUUUUGUUAAGUGUUGUCAAUUUAUCUCUUACUUCUUUGUAUAAUCCUCCCAUUAUGAUGGCAUCAAGCUCAAUAAAGAAAA